ensembl:lncRNA
UUUUGCUUCUCAGAAAAAUGGACACUUUUGUUUUCACUAGAAGGUGUUUUUGACUUUUUAAAAUUCCAAAUUGACACUAUUCUCUAUUUUUCACCGAAUUUGCAAUAAAAACUCUUGUUAGUUGCAUCUCUUGGCUUAUUUUGCCCUUUAAAAAAAUCAAGUUGUCAAAUUAUUUACUUUCUAGAUAACAGACUCUAUGUCCCAGGCACUAUGGAUCUCUGGGUCCAAGUCAAAGAAGGUGUUCCCCUCUUGUUGCUAGUGAGAUGGCAUUCUGGCAUGAUGUUCUUUGAAGGAGAUGGUGUAAGAAAGUAGCCCACCAGACCAGAGCUCCUGUGCCUUACACCUUGGGAUCUGGGGAGGUUAACUGGCUCAUGUCAGGACUGAACCCCACCCUGACCUCACCAGCAGUGCCAGGCGCUCCGUAAAUAAGUGAGGAAAAGCUCCCUUGACCAGAGGAGGAAACAGGGUUCCUACCUUAGGCUCAGAGGAUGACCAGAGAAGCCAGAGCAUUUCUCAUUUGGGUUAAUGGGCUGCAGUAAUCAAACAUCUUCUCAAUCUGUAUUUCAUCCCAAGGCUUAGUGUCUUCCCUCAGGCUAGGAAAGUAAAUUUGUCCAAGCUGUUGCACACUUUGGACCAGUCACUGUUUCUCUCUCGACCUCAAAGUCUCUAUCUGUAAAGUUCCUUUCCAACAUUGUCUAGGUUUAAUUAUAGACAGCAGGAACAACAACAUGUAUAUAUAUUUAAGGGUAACUAGCAAAGUUAAACCUAGGUAACUGGUAAACCCAGAUUAGGACAGUGCUUCGCAUUUAGUUGGUACUCAGGUAAUUAAUAAUAUGCCUUCUAUAUCAAUUUUCUGUUUUUCAGAUGACUCAUUCCCACUUGGACUUCCCUAUAGGGAAAGACAGAAGGGACAAUGGAAUCUGCUUUCUCGAAGGGUUGGUUACUACUGGGAAUUCACAAAGGCAGUGAUGAGUAAUUUCCAUAUCCUACGGCAAACUUACCUAUUGAAGGGUUAACACCAGCUCUGGAGAAACAGAUCGGCCAUCUAUUAUUCCAUAGUCCCAUGGGGGUCCUUCCCCAGGGACCGCAGGCACCAGCGCUUAAAGCCAUCACGGAUGGGACGUGUAAUCUUCUUGGGGGCGCUCAUGACUCCCAACGAAGGCUGCCUUCCACGCCUGGACUUCGAAGGCGGUUACCUGUCACGACGAAGCCUCAGAAAUUAAACGUGCGGCUCAGAAGUCCAUUAAUUUUAGCUUCCCAUUAAUCUAUUUAUAAGUGAGCCAGCGCUGGCUCUAUAAAUACAGUCCUAUAAAAUUGAACGCCUUCCCAUAAAUCUUCUACGUUGUUUAUUUACAUGUAUUCUCUCGUCCUCCAACGAGCCUCGUUUCAGCUGGGGAAGCCACUUGGCCAUGGAGUGGGAUCUCCCCGCCCCAGCUUCCCGGCAGGAAUCCUGGGCUCCUUGGAAAGGAAUUGCGCGGGAGCAGAACACGGAGGGAGAAAACUCAUUUUUCCUUCUUGACUUUGUUUCAUUGAGUCUAUCCCAAACUCACGUUCUCCAUAUUUCCCAUCACAAGCUCCACAUUGAUUUAUACUGUCAUAAACAGCAUUCUCGCGACUAUAACUUCUCUUAUAGCUUGGGGUGAGCUCCUUUUUCACUUCUCUGGCAGCCACUACUUUUAAAUCAGGCCUCGUAAAUAAUCUCAGUGCUUCCAGAAGAGGAGGUCAGUCAAUCGCCUCCCCGGGUCCACUUUCUUGGCUCGGGUCCCUCCGUGCCCCUCCCCCAGGUCACACGCCGGCGCUCUCCCACCGCCUUUAUCCCACAUUCCCAGGACACAGCCGCAGACACCAAUGCGGAAACUGGGCGCCCGUGCUCCGAUAUUCACACCCGGGGCCCAGUCAGCGUGUGCACGUACCG